UGCCUGCCCAAAGGAAGGUGCUUUUUUUCCUAAUUUGCACAAAAGGUGCCAUUUGUUGCAAAACUCACAUACCUAUGGGCUGCCUGUGACUAUUUAAUUCAACCUGGGAGAAGUCUUUUAAAAAUGCAUACAAAGUCUCCGUGUAGGCAGGCUGUAGCCAGCUGUCCUGUAUGGAGUCAGUCAGUGUGUGACUACUGAAUGAAAAUAAGCCGAAGACAAACACAGUCCAUUCUUUGAUUCAGACCAACACCUUCUGCUAAACAGUGCUGUCUUCAGAUGCUGGCACCAAACAAGUGUGAGCUGUUUCUGGAGCCCCUUGUGCACUGGUCACACUUUCAAACUCAGCAGACCGAUCUACUGAAUGUAUGAAAUAAUUAG